UUAAAGCAGUUUGCUGAGUUUGCCAAUGAGACAGAGUCCAAGUGACUCUGUGCAGCUCCCACCCUCACGGUCCACAUUUUCAGAUUCAAGCCUGGGGUGCACAUGGGGACAUUCACAGAAGCAAUGCCAUGGUGCCUGCUCCAUUUAAUUACGAAUGGAUCUGAAAAGGGGAGACACUUGGAUAAUUUCGAGUAGACAUCUGAAAAGAGGUUUGGGGUAAUUUUUUUCCAGGUCACUUGGGCUUUUAGAGCUGCGCUAAUACAUGUGGCUGCAGACUAAAUGGACUUUAAUUUGAGCCUUGCCAAUUACAACAUCAAUUGGAUGUGCAACUUUACCAUAUCUUUUAUUGAAUAAUAAAGAUGUACGUUGGGAAAGGAUGGGAUCCAGAGAACAGAAAGGAAAAUUCAGGGUGGAGAUGCCCCUUAAGCAGCAAGAAACCUGGGGCGAGGAUUUAGCAGCGAAGUACAGCCUGCAGGAGCAGGCGUGGGAGCCAUUGUAGGAGUGCUAGUUGAAGCCAGAAGCCUGGAUACAGUCUGAUGAUGACGAUGACGACCAUGAUGAGUACUGAGCAGUAAUAACGACUAAUACCGAGCAUAGACCACGUCCCAGGUGACACACGACUUUCAGAUGUAUGAUUUGAUGAUUUCCCAAACCCAAACAAGAAUCCUGCAAUACGUCCUCUGAAGGUCUCUGCUGUAAAUUUCAAUGCCUCCUGCAAAAGAAAGAAGGGAAAGAAGAGGAGAAAACAGGUUAAUUCUCCUUACAAAGGAAGAGACGUAAAAUAAAGGAUUAUAAGUUAAGGAACAUAGAGUCACAGUGGAAAGAGAUUCAGGGCACUUCUUAAGUGCUGCACUGAAAAGUAAGAAACAAAACAGAUCCUACCAGUGGAAAUGCACGUGCACAGAGCGGCACUGACAUAGGGCGGGCCUGAGUGUCAAGAAGCCAAAGAAACCCAGUGCUGAGGACUGCCUACCCCAGAAACACACAUACCUAAACUGAGAGAUGGAUGGAUGGAUGGAUGGAUGUUACAACCAGAAUGGGAUCUAAAAGCACCAAAAUGAUAAUAAGUUGCAAUUUACUGAGUGUCUUCGCUAUGACAGGCAUUUAACCUGUGUAAUAUCAUUUAAUCUUCACUCAACCCAAAGAGGUUGGUAUAAGCAAUAUCUUCAUUUCACAGGAAAGGAAAGUCAGUCUUAGAAAGACCAAGUAACUUGCUCAAGAUUGUGAAUUUUAAUAAGUUUAGUCCCAGGACUUGAACUUGAGGUAUAUAGCCCCAAAGUCCGUGAAUGUGAGCAUCCGUGAGGUAAGGAUAAACAAGCCACAUGGAUGUGGUUUUAUUGUUCCCCCUACAAUACCCUAGAAAAAGUAUUUCAACUUGCCAGUGGACAGAUAGAUACGUGAGAAAAACUUAUAUCCUUCCCAAAUCUAUACUUAACAUUUUUUAGAAAUCAUGAUUUUCUUUCUUGAACUGGUAGAAACCAGA